rnacentral:rRNA from 1 species
CCUACGGGAGGCAGCAGUGAGGAAUAUUGGUCAAUGGACGAGAGUCUGAACCAGCCAAGUAGCGUGAAGGAUGACGGCCCUAUGGGUUGUAAACUUCUUUUAUACGGGAAUAAAGUUAGCCACGUGUGGCUUUUUGUAUGUACCGUAUGAAUAAGGAUCGGCUAACUCCGUGCCAGCAGCCGCGGUAAUACGGAGGAUCCGAGCGUUAUCCGGAUUUAUUGGGUUUAAAGGGAGCGUAGGCGGGUUGUUAAGUCAGUUGUGAAAGUUUGCGGCUCAACCGUAAAAUUGCAGUUGAUACUGGCGGCCUUGAGUGCAGCAGAGGUAGGCGGAAUUCGUGGUGUAGCGGUGAAAUGCUUAGAUAUCACGAAGAACUCCGAUUGCGAAGGCAGCUUACUAUUCGUAACUGACGCUGAUGCUCGAAAGUGUGGGUAUCAAACAGGAUUAGAUACCCCAGUAGUC